GACGAACCGUGCGAACGUUGUUCGGAAUCACUGGGCUUAAAGGGCGCGUAGGCGGACGACCAAGUCCGGGGUGAAAGCCUCCAGCUUAACUGGAGAAGUGCCUCGGAUACUGGUUGUCUUGAGGAGGGUAGGGGCAUCUGGAACUAGCGGUGGAGCGGUGAAAUGCGUUGAUAUCGCUAGGAACUCCGGUGGCGAAGGCGAGGU
rnacentral:rRNA from 1 species